UGCGUAGGCGGAUUAAUAAGUCAGUGGUGAAAACCUGCAGCUUAACUGCAGACCUGCCAUUGAUACUGUUAGUCUUGAGUACGGUCAAGGUAGGCGGAAUGUGUAAUGUAGCGGUGAAAUGCUUAGAUAUUACACAGAACACCGAUUGCGAAGGCAGCUUACUGGGCCAUUACUGACGCUGAGGCACGAAAGCGUGGGGAGCGAACAGGAUUAGAUACCCUGGUAGUCC
rnacentral:rRNA from 1 species